rnacentral:rRNA from 1 species
GACGAACGCUGGCGGCGUGCCUAAUACAUGCAAGUAGAACGCUGAAGAGAGGAGCUUGCUCUUCUUGGAUGAGUUGCGAACGGGUGAGUAACGCGUAGGUAACCUGCCUGGUAGCGGGGGAUAACUAUUGGAAACGAUAGCUAAUACCGCAUAAAAUGGAUUAUCGCAUGAUAAUCCAUUGAAAGGUGCAAAUGCAUCACUACCAGAUGGACCUGCUUUGUAUUAGCUAGUUGGUGGGGUAACGGCUCACCAAGGCGACGAUACAUAGCCGACCUGAGAGGGUGGUCGGCCAAACUGGGACUGAGACACGGCCCAGGCUCCUACGGGAGGCAGCAGUAGGGAAUCGUCGGCAAUAGACGGAAGUCUGACCGAGCAACGCCGCGUGAGUGAAGAAGGUUUUCGGAUCGUAAAGCUCUGUUGUAAGAGAAGAACGAGUGUGGGAGUGGAAAGUUCACACUGUGACGGUAUCUUACCAGAAAGGGACGGCUAACUACGUG